rnacentral:rRNA from 1 species
UACGUAGGGAGCAAGCGUUGUCCGGAAUCAUUGGGCGUAAAGAGCGUGUAGGCGGCCCGAUAAGUCCGCUGUGAAAGUCCAGGGCUCAACCCUGGGAUGCCGGUGGAUACUGUCGGGCUCGAGUCCGGAAGAGGAGUGUGGAAUUCCUGGUGUAGCGGUGAAAUGCGCAGAUAUCAGGAAGAACACCCUAUGGCGAAAGGCAGCUCUCUGGGACGGUACUGACGCUGAGGCGCGAAAGCGUGGGGAGCGAACAGG